GGCGGACGGGUGAGUAACGCGUGAGAAUCUGCCCUCAGGAGGGGGACAACAGCUGGAAUGGCUGCUAAUACCCCAUAUGCCGCGAGGUGAAAUGAACUUCGCCUGAGGAUGAGCUCGCGUCUGAUUAGCUAGUUGGUGUAGGUUAAUGGCUCACCAAGGCAUCGAUCAGUAGCUGGUCUGAGAGGAUGAUCAGCCACACUGGGACUGAUACACGGCCCAGACUCCUACGGGAGGCAGCAGUGGGGAAUUUUUUUUUUUAUGGGCCAAAGCCUGAAGGAGCUAACGCCGCGUGAGGGAUGAACGCCUCUG
rnacentral:rRNA from 1 species